rnacentral:lncRNA from 1 species
ACCUUGGGUCACAGCCCUCCUGGAAGUGUGGUCACAGCCCUCCUGGAAGUGUAGUCACAGCCACAGCGUCUGUGCCAGCAACCAUCCCAGCUCCUGGCUGCUGGGCCCAGCCACUAGGCACUCCUGCCGAGUUCAAAGGAGAGGGCGCUUCAGUCAGACAGCAAAUGAAAGCAAGGUGUUCAUGAAAGCCAGUUGCUACAUGAAGAAGCCUGGGCUAACCUGCUGGAAGAAGAUGAAAGACCACAACAAUCAUGAUCCACUCCAGUCAUCCCAGCUGAACUCCUAUACAUGUAAAAGACUCCCCUGAUGGCUAGCCAAUCCUCCUACAGAAGCAGAUAGGCAACUGAUCGCAGACACAUGAGUAAAUCCAGCCCCCGAUAAGAACAGCUCAACCAACCUGCACAUUCAUGAACAAAGUAAAUGCUUUCUGUUUAAGUCACCA